rnacentral:rRNA from 3 species
AAAUUGAAGAGUUUGAUCAUGGCUCAGAUUGAACGCUGGCGGCAGGCCUAACACAUGCAAGUCGAACGGUAACAGGAAGCAGCUUGCUGCUUCGCUGACGAGUGGCGGACGGGUGAGUAAUGUCUGGGAAACUGCCUGAUGGAGGGGGAUAACUACUGGAAACGGUAGCUAAUACCGCAUAACGUCGCAAGACCAAAGAGGGGGACCUUCGGGCC